rnacentral:rRNA from 1 species
UACAGAGGGGGCAAGCGUUAUUCGGAAUUAUUGGGCGUAAAGGGCGCGUAGGCGGCUUUGCAAGUGACGGGUGAAAGCCCUCGGCUUAACCGAGGAACUGCCUGUCAGACUGUGAGGCUUGAGACCGGGAGAGGUGAGUGGAAUUCCCAGUGUAGCGGUGAAAUGCGUAGAUAUUGGGAGGAACACCAGUGGCGAAGGCGGCUCACUGGACCGGAACUGGACGCUGAGGCGCGAAAGCGUGGGGAGCAAACAGGG